GACGAACGCUGGCGGCGUGCUUAACACAUGCAAGUCGAACGGAAAGGCCGUGCUUUUUUGUGGUGCUCGAGUGGCGAACGGGUGAGUAACACGUGAGUAACCUGCCCUUGACUUGGGGAUAACCUCAGGAAACUGGGGCUAAUACCAGAUAGGAGUUCCUGCUGCAUGGUGGGGGUUGGAAAGUUUCGGCUGUUGGGGAUGGACUCGGGGUUUAUCCGCUUGUUGGGGAGGUAGUGGCUUACCAAGGCUUUGACGGGUAGCGGGCCCGAGAGGGUGACCGGCCCCCGUAGGACAGAGCUACGGCCCAGACUCCUACGGGAGGCAGCGGGCGGGAAGCGUGCCCUACCCACCGAAGCCUGAUGCAGCAACGCCGCGUGCGGGAUGAUGGCCUUCUGGUAGUAGGCCACAUUCGACUGUAAGGAUACGUGUAUGCCAGUAACGGAUAAAGAAGCACCGGCUAACUCCGUG
rnacentral:rRNA from 1 species